rnacentral:rRNA from 1 species
AGCGGGUGAAAAGCCCGCUCGCCGGAAGACCAAGGGUUCCUGUCCAACGUUAAUCGGGGCAGGGUGAGUCGACCCCUAAGGCGAGGCCGAAAGGCGUAGUCGAUGGGAAACGGGUUAAUAUUCCCGUACUUGGUGUUACUGCGAAGGGGGGACGGAGAAGGCUAUGUUGGCCGGGCGACGGUUGUCCCGGUUUAAGCGUGUAGGUGUGUGUUCCAGGUAAAUCCGGUUCACUUUAACACUGAGGCGUGACGACGAGGCACUACGGUGCUGAAGCAACAAAUGCCCUGCUUCCAGGAAAAGCCUCUAAGCAUCAGGUAACAUCAAAUCGUACCCCAAACCGACACAGGUGGUCAGGUAGAGAAUACCAAGGCGCUUGAGAGAACUCGGGUGAAGGAACUAGGCAAAAUGGUGCCGUAACUUCGGGAGAAGGCACGCUGACAUGUAGGUGAAGUGAUUUACUCACGGAGCUGAAGUCAGUCGAAGAUACCAGCUGGCUGCAACUGUUUAU